rnacentral:rRNA from 1 species
CCUACGGGCGGCUGCAGUGGGGAAUAUUGGACAAUGGGGGGAACCCUGAUCCAGCCAUGCCGCGUGUGUGAAGAAGGCCCUCGGGUUGUAAAGCACUUUCAGUGAGGAAGAACGCCUGGUGGUUAAUACCCAUCAGGAAAGACAUCACUCACAGAAGAAGCACUGGCUAACUCCGUGCCAGCAGCCGCGGUAAUACGGAGGGUGCGAGCGUUAAUCGGAAUUACUGGGCGUAAAGCGCGCGUAGGUGGCUUGAUAAGCCGGUUGUGAAAGCCCCGGGCUCAACCUGGGAACGGCAUCCGGAACUGUCAAGCUAGAGUGCAGGAGAGGAAGGUAGAAUUCCCGGUGUAGCGGUGAAAUGCGUAGAGAUCGGGAGGAAUACCAGUGGCGAAGGCGGCCUUCUGGACUGACACUGACACUGAGGUGCGAAAGCGUGGGUAGCAAACAGGAUUAGAUACCCGAGUAGUC